GCAGUUGGUAGCUCAGUGGUAGAGUGCAUGCUCUGUGUAUAUGACAUCCUGGGUUCAAAUCCCAGGUCGCUGUUGCA
rnacentral:tRNA from 1 species